rnacentral:tRNA from 1 species
UAUAUUUUAGUGUUAAGUGCACAAAAGAUUUUGAAUCUUUUAGUUAUAGAUCAAAUACUAUAAAAUAUAA